UAACUCCUUUAGCUGACUGAUGGACAUACAGAUAUAGCAAUAUAUGUAACGCUUAACUAGUAGUGAUAAGGUAAUGAAGAAUAUCACAAACUCUGAAUAACAAUACUGAAUCAACAUCAGUUAGCCCAAUCUGCGUACAUUAUAAAUGAAAAGAGCACUGUUCUACAAUAACCUCAGCCUUAUGAAAAAACUGUAAGUCUUCUGAAAAUAUAAGCUGAUGCAUGACUCGUCCCAUGAACAAGACCGUACCUGCGUUGGGGUGGAAGUGAACAAAACAGGGUGUGAACAAAAAAGUGGGAUAUUUACUUUCCUUCUUGCUGACAAUUAGCAGUGUUCUAAAAAUAAAAAUAUAAAUAAUUCUUUUUAAAAAAUCA